GACAAACGCUGGCGGCGUGCUUAACACAUGCAAGUCGAACGGAGCGAAUGAAAGCUUGCUUUUAUGAGCUUAGUGGCAAACGGGUGAGUAACACGUAGACAACCUGCCGAUCAGAUGGGGACAACAUUCCGAAAGGAAUGCUAAUACCGAAUGGCGUGGAGGGAAGGCAUCUUCCUUUCAUGAAAGAUGGCCUCUAUAUAUAAGCUAUCACUGAUCGAUGGGUCUGCGUCUGAUUAGCUAGUAGGUAAGGUAACGGCUUACCUAGGCGACGAUCAGUAGCCGGUCUGAGAGGAUGAACGGCCACAUUGGGACUGAGACACGGCCCAGACUCCUACGGGAGGCAGCAGUGGGGAAUCUUCCGCAAUGGGCGCAAGCCUGACGGAACAACGCCGCGUGAGUGAAGAAGGUCUUCGGAUCGUAAAGCUCUGUUGAAGGGGACGAACGUAUAUAGUGCGAAUAGUGCUGUGUAAUGACGGUACCUUUGAGAAGCCAC
rnacentral:rRNA from 1 species